rnacentral:rRNA from 1 species
AUUGAACGCUGGCGGCAUGCCUUACACAUGCAAGUCGAACGGCAGCACGGGAGCAAUCCUGGUGGCGAGUGGCGAACGGGUGAGUAAUAUAUCGGAACGUGCCCAGUGAUGGGGGAUAGCCCGGCGAAAGCCGGAUUAAUACCGCAUACGACCUACGGGUGAAAGCAGGGGAUCGCAAGACCUUGCGUCAUUGGAGCGGCCGAUAUCAGAUUAGCUUGNGGUGGGGUAAAGCCUACCAAGGCGACGAUCUGUAGCUGGUCUGAGAGGACGACCAGCCACACUGGGACUGAGACACGGCCCAGACUCCUACGGGAGGCAGCAGUGGGGAAUUUUGGACAAUGGCGCAAGCCUGAUCCAGCCAUGCCGCGUGCGGGAAGAAGGCCUCGG